rnacentral:rRNA from 1 species
GUGUGUCUUAGUCAUGCAAGUCGAACGAGAAAGUCAUCUUCGGGUGGCGAGUACAGUGGCGAACGGGUGAGUAACACGUGGGCAACCUGCCCCUAAGUUUGGGAUAACACUUCCAACGAGGUGCUAAUACCGAAUGACAAGGCGAGUUGAUGACUCGUUUUUAAAGGUGGCCUCUAUUUAUAAGCUGCCGCCUAGGGAUGGGCCCGCGUCGUAUUAGCUUGUUGGUAGGGUAAUGGCCUACCAAGGCGACGAUGCGUAGCCGGCCUGAGAGGGUAAACGGCCACACUGGCACUGAGAUAAGGGCCAGUCUCCUACGGGAGCCAGCAGUCUAGAAAUUUGCACAAUCGCCGAAAGGCGGAUGCAGCGACACCACGUGGAGGAUGAAGCCCCUCGGGUGUAAACUCCUGUCAGAAGGGAAGAAGGUGCGGGCGUUAAUACCGCUCGUUGCUUGACGGUACCUUCAGAGGAAGCUCCGGCUAACUACGUGCCAGCAGCCGCGGUAAUACGUAGGGAGCGAGCGUUGUUCGGAUUUACUGGGCGUAAAGGGCACGUAGGCGGGUAUACAAGUCGGUUGUGAAAUCCUCUGGCUCAACCAGAGAACUGCAGCCGAAACUGUACGCCUUGAGUCUAGCAGAGGGGAUCGGAAUCCCAGGUGUAGCGGUGAAAUGCGUAGAUAUCUGGGAGAACAUCAGUGGCGAAGGCGGAUUCCUGGGCUGGUACUGACGCUGAGGUGCGAAAGCUAAGGGAGCGAACAGGAUUAGAUACCCUGGUAGUCUUAGCCGUAAACGAUGGGUACUAGGUGUUGGGGGACAUUGACCCCCUCAGUGCCGUAGCUAACGCAUUAAGUACCCCGCCUGGGGUGUACGGCCGCAAGGCUGAAACUCAAAGGAAUUGACGGGGACCCGCACAAGCAGUGGAGCAUGUUGCUUAAUUCGAUGCAACGCGAAGAACCUUACCAGGGCUUGACAUCCGAGGA